rnacentral:rRNA from 1 species
CGAAAGCCUGACGGAGCAAUACCGCGUGAGGGAGGAAGGCUCUUGGGUUGUAAACCUCAAAACUUAGGGAAGAAAAAAAUGACGGUACCUAAUUUAAGCAUCGGCUAACUCCGUGCCAGCAGCCGCGGUAAUACGGAGGAUGCAAGCGUUAUCCGGAAUUAUUGGGCGUAAAGAGUCCGUAGGUGGCAAUUCAAGUCUGUGGUCAAAGACUAGAGCUUAACUCUGGAAAGGCCAUGGAAACUGAAGAGCUAGAGUUCGGGAGGGGUAGAGGGAAUUCCCAGUGUAGCGGUGAAAUGCGUAGAGAUUGGGAAGAACACCAGUGGCGAAGGCGCUCUACUGGACCGAAACUGACACUGAGGGACGAAAGCUAAGGUAGCG